UGAAGAAUGGGAUGGACAAGUUGGAGCUACAAAUGAAUAAGUUGAUACAUGGCAGAAACAAGUUGCUCUUCUGAUAUACUCUCAAAGUAACAGAAGAGUAACUUGUUUCUGCCAUGUCAUCAACUUGUUUAUUUGUCGCUCUAACUUGUUCAUCCCCUUAUUCUU
rnacentral:pre_miRNA from 1 species